rnacentral:rRNA from 1 species
GAAGCAUGUUGUUUAAUUCGAUAACCCACGAUAAAUCUUACCACUUCUUGCAUAUUUUCCUAUUCGGAAUUUACAGGUGUUGCAUGGCUGUCUUUAGUUCGUGUUGUGAAAUGUUAGGUUUAUUCCGAUAACGAACGUAAACCUUGUCCUUAAUUAUUUUAAGGAAAUGUCUAUCGAUAUUAUAGAUGAAUUAGGAUGAAGACAAGUCCUCAUGACCCUUAUGAAGUGGGCUACAGACGUGCUGCAAAAUUUUCUACAAUGGGAUGCAAUGAUGGAAGUCGGAGCUAAUCCCCUAAAAGAUUGUUUAGUCCGGAUAAGUGCCUGGAACUCGGCUCUUU